CUCAGAGAGAAGAUGCCCA
rnacentral:piRNA from 1 species